GUGCUCCCUUCAGCAGCACAUAUACUAAAAUUGGAAAGAUACAGAGAAGAUUAAAAUGGUCCCUGCACAAGGAUGACACGCAAAUUCAUGAAGUGUUCCGUAAAAAA